UACGAAGGGGGCUAGCGUUGCUCGGAAUUACUGGGCGUAAAGCGCACGUAGGCGGCUUUCUAAGUCGGGGGUGAAAUCCUGGAGCUCAACUCCAGAACUGCCUUCGAUACUGGAGAGCUCGAGUCCGGGAGAGGUGAGUGGAACUGCGAGUGUAGAGGUGAAAUUCGUAGAUAUUCGCAAGAACACCAGUGGCGAAGGCGGCUCACUGGCCCGGUACUGACGCUGAGGUGCGGAAAGCGUGGGGAGCAAACAGGG
rnacentral:rRNA from 1 species